CCUACGGGAGGCUGCAGUGAGGAAUAUUGGUCAAUGGGCGCGAGACUGAACCAGCCAAGUCGCGUGAAGGAUGACUGCCCUACGGGUUGUAAACUUCUUUUAUCAAGGAAUAAAGUCAGGCACGUGUGCCUUUUUGUAUGUACUUUAUGAAUAAGGAUCGGCUAACUCCGUGCCAGCAGCCGCGGUAAUACGGAGGAUCCGAGCGUUAUCCGGAUUUAUUGGGUUUAAAGGGAGCGUAGAUGGGUUGUUAAGUCAGUUGUGAAAGUUUGCGGCUCAACCGUAAAAUUGCAAUUGAUACUGGCAGUCUUGAGUACAGUUGAGGUAGGCGGAAUUCGUGGUGUAGCGGUGAAAUGCUUAGAUAUCACGAAGAACUCCGAUUGCGAAGGCAGCUUACUAACCUGCCACUGACAUUGAUGCUCGAAAGUGUGGGUAUCAAACAGGAUUAGAUACCCUUGUAGUC
rnacentral:rRNA from 1 species